rnacentral:rRNA from 1 species
UACGGAGGGGACUAGCGUUGUUCGGAAUUACUGGGCGUAAAGCGCACGUAGGCGGAUUUGUAAGUCAGGGGUGAAAUCCCGGGGCUCAACCUCGGAACUGCCUUUGAUACUGCAAAUCUCGAGUCCGGAAGAGGUGAGUGGAAUUCCUAGUGUAGAGGUGAAAUUCGUAGAUAUUCGGAGGAACACCAGUGGCGAAGGCGGCUCACUGGCUCGAUACUGACGCUGAGGUGCGAAAGCGUGGGGAGCAAACAGG